UGUAAGCGUAUACCAAAGUUGUUGCAGUUAAAACGCUCGUAGUCGGAAUUUGGCAGUUCCGGAUGUGUGCACGUCGUGUGCGCACUUCGCGGGGAUAGCUUUUGUGGUCUUGCGUAGGAUGAGGCACUUUUAUUAGUGAACGUCCUCACGCAACCACUUUUUACUGUGAGAAAAUCAGAGUGCUCAAAGCAGGCAUUUGCCGUGAAUGUAUUAGCAUGGAAUAAUAGAAUAGGACUUGGUUCUAUUUUGUUGGUUUGUUGGGACUGAGUAAUGAUUAAGAGGGACAGUUGGGGGCAUUUGUAUUUCGGUGCUAGAGGUGAAAUUCUUAGAUUACCGAAAGACAAACUGCUGCGAAAGCGUCUGCCAAGGAUGUUUUCAUUGA
rnacentral:rRNA from 1 species